rnacentral:misc_RNA from 1 species
UUUCCGUAGGUGAACCUGCGGAAGGAUCAUUAUUGUAUAACCGAGGUGCGAGGGCUGUCGCUGACCCGAAAGGUCGUGCACGCCCGAGUGCCCUCACACACAUCCAUCUCACCCCUAUGUGCACCACCGCGUGGGUCCCCCUUUGGCUUGUUCGGAGGGGGGCUUACGCUUUCACACGAACUUUGUAUGCAGUGUAGAAUGUAUUUUUUGUUUUUGCGAUCACGCAAUCAAUACAACUUUCAACAACGGAUCUCUUGGCUCUC